AGUUUCUCCACCAUAAUUCACCCCACUUGGACGGCGACCUCAUCUUCUGUGAAGCUCUCCUUUUCAUCGAUCUUAACAUCUUCAAUCAUCUGCACUUUGUGGUCUAUAGGUUUAUAUCAUUGGGACUUGUUGUCUGGGAUGCUGGAGUGGUCAUGGGUCGUAAUGCAUGGAAUCGCGAGACAAGUCUAAUGAUUUUGUACAUACGGUUUAUGUAACACUUAACAAAUGAUUUAUGCUUCCGCUGAAUACGAUGAGUUAUACUUCAUGUAAUGCAAUACUUUAUCUUAAUAAAUGAAAUUUUUUAUUUAAA